UUCCUUCUUUCUCUCUCAAAGAACAGAAAAGAAAAAAAAAAAAACACAAGAGAUGAAAUCUCUGUUCUUAUUUCUUGUGUUUUUUAAGGCUAUGCUUGUUUUGUGCCGUUUAAAAAGGGUUGUUAUUACAGUUUUUUUUUUUUUUGAAUAGAUAAACAAGAAUGAGAAAAAAAAGCUACUUGGUUUUGUGGUUGUAUACAUAAUUAUAAUUUUUAUGUUUUUAAAAAAAAUUUGGGUUUGAAGAUCCAUUUGAUUAGGACCCCAUUUUGAUCAUCACUUAUAUCUCUCUUUUCCCUUUUAUUUUUCACUUUUUCCUAAAUAUAAACCAUUAUUCUCCUCCCUAAAUUCACUUCAUCUUCUUUAUUCUUGAUAAAAAUGAUCAUGGGAAAAAAUUUUUGUUAUGAAUUUAAUGAGCUAGUUAUAUAUGUAUAUCUGAGUAUGUGUAUGUACGUUCAUAUACAUGUAUAUGCCUGGCUCCCUGUAUGCCAUUUGCAGAGCUCAUCGUAAUAUCGAUCGGCCUUGUUGAAUGGCGUAUGAGGAGCCAAGCAUAUUCUGAUAUCGUGUAUAUGAUGUUGAAAUAUGUGACCAUCUCAUAAUAUAAAUCAAAAGCUAGCUCUUUUUUUUCUUGUUGUCUAAUUUGUUUUGUUGAGAUCUAUGCAAGGCCAUGGUGAUUGUUGAAGAAUUCUCUCCUUGGUGCUAAGGAAUUUGAGGUGAUUUUCUCCUCUCUCAGUUGCAACAGGGCAAAUAUGUGCAAUUUCGUAUGGUUCAGGAUUUGUACGUGGAUGGGCUAAGUGUUUUUUUAAUUCAUGUCAUAGUUUUUUGAACUGUAAAUCAAUGUAUACUGAUCAGAUUUUAUUUCUGUCUUUUACAUUUUUUACAGUUGCUUCGAAGGACAUUCUUUUGUUUGAACAAUUUUGUCUUAGAAAAUGAUUACUUCUAUUUGUACAA